rnacentral:rRNA from 1 species
GACGAACGCUGGCGGCGUGCCUAAUACAUGCAAGUCGAACGCUUCUUUCCUCCCGAGUGCUUGCACUCAAUUGGAAAGAGGAGUGGCGGACGGGUGAGUAACACGUGGGUAACCUACCCAUCAGAGGGGGAUAACACUUGGAAACAGGUGCUAAUACCGCAUAACAGUUUAUGCCGCAUGGCAUCAGAGUGAAAGGCGCUUUCGGGUGUCGCUGAUGGUUGGACCCGCGGUGCAUUAGCUAGUUGGUGAGGUAACGGCUCACCAGGGCCACGAUGCAUAGCCGACCUGAGAGGGUGAUCGGCCAAACUAGGACUGAGACACGGCCAAGACUCCUACGGGAGGCAGCAGUAGGGAAUCUUCGGCAAUGGACGAAAGUCUGACCGAGCAACGCCGCGUGAGUGAAGAAGGUUUUCGGAUCGUAAAACUCUGUUGUUAGAGAAGAACAAGGACGUUAGUAACUGAACGUCCCCUGACGGUAUCUAACCAGAAAGCCACGGCUAACUACGUG